AGUGAACGCUGGCGGCGUGCUUAACACAUGCAAGUCGAACGAUGAAACCUAGCUUGCUAGGUGGAUUAGUGGCGCACGGGUGAGUAAUGAAUAGAUAAUCUGCCUUUUAGUGGGGGACGACAGUUGGAAACGACUGCUAAUACCCCAUACUCCUUUUAAACAUAAGUUUAAUCGGGAAAGUUUUUCGCUAAAAGAUGAGUCUAUUUCCCAUCAGCUAGUUGGUAAGGUAAGAGCUUACCAAGGCUAUGACGGGUAGCUGGUCUUAGAGGACGAUCAGCCACACUGGAACUGAGACACGGUCCAG
rnacentral:rRNA from 1 species